rnacentral:rRNA from 1 species
CCUACGGGUGGCAGCAGUGAGGAAUAUUGGUCAAUGGGCUUACGCCUGAACCAGCCAAGUCGCGUGAGGGAAGACUGCCCUAUGGGUUGUAAACCUCUUUUGUCAGGGAGCAAUUGGCGCUACGUGUAGCGUUAUCGAGAGUACCUGAAGAAUAAGCCACGGCUAACUACGUGCCAGCAGCCGCGGUAAUACGUAGGUGGCAAGCGUUGUCCGGAUUUACUGGGAGUAAAGGGCGUGCAGCCGGGAAGACAAGUCAGAUGUGAAAUCCCGCGGCUCAACCGCGGAACUGCAUUUGAAACGGUUUUUCUUGAGUACCGGAGAGGUCAUCGGAAGUCCGUGUGUAGCGGUGAAAUGCGUAGAUAUAAGGAAGAACACCAGUGGCGAAGGCGGAUGACUGGACGGCAACUGACGGUGAGGCGCGAAAGCGUGGGGAGCAAACAGGAUUAGAUACCCUUGUAGUC